AUUGAACGCUGGCGGCAGGCUUAACACAUGCAAGUCGAGCGGGGGAAGGUAGCUUGCUACCGGACCUAGCGGCGGACGGGUGAGUAAUGCUUAGGAAUCUGCCUAUUAGUGGGGGACAACAUCUCGAAAGGGAUGCUAAUACCGCAUACGUCCUACGGGAGAAAGCAGGGGAUCUUCGGACCUUGCGCUAAUAGAUGAGCCUAAGUCGGAUUAGCUAGUUGGUGGGGUAAAGGCCUACUAAGGCGACGAUCUGUAGCGGGUCUGAGAGGAUGAACCGCCACACUGGGACUGAGACACGGCCCAGACUCCUACGGGAGGCAGCAGUGGGGAAUAUCGGACAAUGGGGGGAACCCUGAUCCAGCCAUGCCGCGUGUGUGAAGAAGGCCUUAUGGUGUAAAGCACUUUAAGCGAGGAGGAGGCUACUCUAGUUAAUACCUAGGGAUAGUGGACGUUACUCGCAGAAUAAGCACCGGCUAACUCUGUGCCAGCCGCCGCGGUAA
rnacentral:rRNA from 1 species